UUCGUCUGCAAUAAAAAAUAAUCAAGUAGCCAAGGCCUAAAUCGCACAAAAAUUAGCUCAUUCAAAAUUUACUGAUUAAUUAGUAGUCUGUGUGUGGUUUAGUGAAACCAAAAACUCGAUAUUACAGCCUUGUAGUGACUAAUGCAUGAUUUUUUUUUCCUUAAAAACAAUUUCUUGGCCGACCAUUAAGCAUUAUCAUCUACAUUCUUCAAAAACACCCAGGUGAAACAACCCACCAUGGAGACCAUGUUGAGAUAAGGUUGCAGAGGAAUAUUUUCAAAAAAGCGGCUUCCUUCAAACGGUUCGAAAUCAAAGAUUUAUUCAUUCACCGAAGAAACGAGUCAAAUGACUCAAACGUCAAUUGGUAUAAAACCCAUCCCCAGCAACGUCAACCUAAAGAAGGAAAGGCCAGUUUGCAUUUCCUUCACUUUCGAAGGUCACGGAGAUCAUUACGUAAAACUGUCAAUGCGGUGGUGUAGAGGUUGGGUGAGGACGACACGUGUAACAUCAUUAUCAAGUAGGUAAAAUAGCCGCAAGGUAUAAGAUGUGGGUCAGGGUUAGAAAAAGUCGUAUAAAAGGAGAGAGAAAAGUCGAAGAAGGAUCAGUCGAGUGAAUACCUCCAUCACGGCAAUAACUGCAGCCCACUAUUUGUCACCAACUGCCUUCUUCAUUGUACAACCAGUUCGCAAUCA